rnacentral:lncRNA from 1 species
AAUAUACAACCACUAAUAGUCGACUAGUCGAUUACAAUCCAAAAUUCUACUCAAAAGUAAUCAAGUCGGCUUUCCCCAAAAUUCUUUCCAUUCCGAGCUCCUAUUAAGGAAAACAAACUAAUGGGCUAAGCUAACGCUCAGUGAGGCCAAGAAAAUCAUGCAAGCAUGUAAUAGAGCAAGUAGAAGAGCAUGGAACAAAAUCGAGAUAUUUCUAACUAGAAAUUGCAAGUAAUUGACAUUUCAAGUAAGGAAAGUAAAUAGAAACAAUUCAAGGAUACUGUAGCUCUCAGGAGCUAAAUUCCACGUAGCUAGGUCAAGGUCUUGAUCCAAUUCCAUGUUGACACUCCGUCAACCAAGUAAGUAUCAAAUCUGUAGAUGCUCCACUUUCUCCAGAUUCCCGUUCACCGUUACACCCCUUAUACUGGGCCUGCUCGUCAAGGUUUUGAUAUUAUUCGAGUAUAUCGUGGCAAUACUACGCGAGUAUGCCAAGCAAGAUCUCUCCAAUAGAUCAAGCUUCAUGUUUGCUCAUGGUUUACUAAGCUCCUCGACCAAGCCCAUGCCGGUUCGAUUCGCAAAGUUAGCCGAUGAGUUUGGGCAUCUCCCACGAGUAGGAUUGGUCGACGAGACAUCGCUCCAAUCGACACCAAGUCACAUACGAGUAUAGUUUCAAGUAUGAGCAAGUCAAGUAAAUCGAGUAACAAGUCAAGUAAAUCGAGUAACACGUCAAGUAAAGAGAGUGAGUGCGAUAAAGUACACACUCGUCUCGACAAGUUAAAUUCACGUAUUCAACUAGAUGCAUUUCAAGUAUUAGGCAACAAGUCAUGCACUUGACAUUCACCAAUUCAAAAUAAAUGAAUAAAUAAAUCCUUUAGUGUUCCACUCCGAGGUUUCCUUCAAUAUUCUCUUGAGCGCCUGAAGAAAUAGUGAUCAAUUAUCACUCACAUAUACUCACAAUCACUUAACAUACAAGGAAGGAAAUGUAUUUGCUUAGAUUUAGAACAAUGUCUCAAAAGAGCUCCAUUCUAUUGAAAUUCAAGAUUCAAAAGUGAGGAUUUAAAGUCACAAGGGAAAACUCGUAUCCUCCAUGAAGUCGGGUUUAAAACGAAUUAUCAAUAUCAAAAGGAAAUGAAAAGUUCUUAAAAACUUAUUUCCUACGAAAUCGGAAUUUUCCGCUUUAUGCGAUAAACUUUGUAAAAUUAGAUCUUGAGUUUGGGAAGUCCAAAAUUGGAAAAAUUUAUACCGUUGGAAACUAGAUCCAAAGUAAUAAAAGCUCCCAGAAGACACUUUUCCAAGAUUCCAAAUGGAAAGCAUUCAUUUUUCAGCUCAAAGUUGCUGAUUGAAGAAGGUAAGACAGAACCAGUCUUGGUUUUCAGCGAUAUUUGGAAAUUCGGCAAAAUUCACAGAAAGUGAAUCAACUUUUGAAAUUUGUAACACAAUAAGAAUUCCAUACAAAGUUUCAAACACAAUAAGCAGAACUAAAUUCGGAGUUUUGAGCAACAAGAUAUAACAGUUUGAAGUCGGUUGAUUUUUGUAAUCUGAUCAGUGAAUUUCCAGAUUUGAAGAGCAACGUUUGGGGCAUUAUUUAGGCAUCGAAAUGGUAUUGAAAUUACACCAAAUUUGGUACACCUAAACCUCCAUAUAGGGACUACUUAUCUAUAAAAAUUCAGGUAAAAACUCAUAUAGAAAGGCAGUUAAUGAAAUGACCAAAGUUUGGGAAAAUUUCAAAGCUAAUCUGCCAACCGUAGUUCUCUUCCUUUCUCAAACGUUUUGUCCAACACAAUCAGCCCCAAUUCGCUCCAAUUUUGAAACCAAGAUUCCAGAAACAUUUAAUAAGAAAUUGAUGGUUAAAUGACACUAAAAUUUUUGAAAUAUAACAUCCCAAAACAGAUUUGACCAUUCGGUCAGCAAGAAAGGGAAAAGUUUCCAGUUUCCAGCUUUGUUGCAUUUUCGAAAUCAAGCCUUAUCUAACUCUAUACAACUCUAAAUUGAGAAUGGUUGAUGGCGUUGGAAACUAGGUUCAAAAUGCUACAAUUUAUCACAAGACAUUGUUUUAAAAAUCCUUUCACAAGUGGAACAAAAUCAAGCCACAAGAUGCAGCUUCCCAGUUUCAUUCGAACACAUAGGCAAAGCAGAACAGCCGAUUUUGCCGAUUCGCUACGAAUCACUCAAAACGAACUAGCAGGGGAUUUUUAUACCGUUGGAAAGCUAUGAAUGUCUUGUUUUGAAUACCGCAAACAGAACUCAAUUUUGACUUUUGUGGAAAGAGUUACAUUCAGACAAAGAAACACUGUCCGAGUGCACUGUUAUACGUUUUCCAGAUUCGAACCUCUACCAAAAACUCAAGUUUUGCACAACCAUCCGAUACGAUUUUUGAAAGAUACUUUAUACACACAAUAUACAACCUAUAUCCAUCAAUUUCAUAAUCAACCAAGCAUAAAAGUUUAGAAACUAAAACAGAACAACAUGACCAGAAAUUUUGGCCGACUUGUAUUCUCAUUUUCCUUCGAUUUCUCUCCACUUUCUAACCGAAAUCAACUCUCUCAACACAUAAACAACCAUAAUCAAACAAUUAAGCCUCAAUUCAGCUACCUAGAGGUCUCAUCAAGUCAGCUAGCCUAUGAUUUAAAGCGAAAUAAAUGGUUCCUCAAGUCCGCUAGCCUAUAACGCGGUUAGGGUUUCAAACCCAUGAAGAUUAACCGCUAAACUUUGAAGAAAUGAAAGGAUUAAAGGGGUGAAGUUGUUACCCUUGAAACCCUAGAUGAAUAUCAGAUUUUUCCACUGAAAAUUCUCCAAGAAAAUCCACAAGAUUGCUCCUUGUUCCAAGAUAGAGUGGUACUCCAAGUUGUAUGCGAUUUGGUGGAGGAUUUGUGAGUGAAAUGGAAGCUUGAAGAUGAAGUUUUUCCUUCCCUUUGUUCUUCUUUGAGGGCUGGCCGAAAAUGGAGAGAGAGAUGAGAGAGAUGAGAGUUUGAUUGUUGUGGCUUGUCUUGGAAGAUUGGUGGGAAAAGUAGUGGUUAAGUUUGGCAAAAGUCAACUUUGAAUAGUUGUUGCGCGAGGGUUUCGUACGACCAUUUUCUCUUGGGUUUGAUACACUUAUGCACUAAUCCUCCAAGGUACUUCCUAUAAUGCUGUAAUUACUCAUACUUACGAGUCUAAUAUUAAUUCCUCAAGUCCCUAAUUAGUCGCGCGGUGUGACUUUCGAGAAACUUUCGACGCGCGGGUAGUAAAAGCUUAAUUUGAACUCACUCACCCCUAAUCCCUCAAUUAACUUUUCUUAGUCUACUAUUGAUCAUUCUUAAUUUUUCAAGAUUAUUGCACUGUCGGAUCGACUAUUACCUCAAAAGACGUGUAUUCGUUAUUCCUUAUUGAACGAGUCGUAGAAAAAUUAAAUUUACUAACGGGACAUUUGAAAAAUAUAAGUAAGGCAUUGUUCCAUGUAAAUGAAUUUAAAAUGGUUGAAAUAAAUUAUUCGAAAAAAACGGUUGAAUAAAUAAUCAAAUAAGCCAGUAAAAUAAGAUAAAAUAAAAAAAAUUUCGAGUCCUCACAGACAGUGCACUAGGGAUUUAAGUAAUCAACUCAUAUUAUAGAUUCAUAUUGUAAAACAAGUGUGAUACCUAAAUUUCUAUUUUCAAUAAUAAUAAAAGGCCAAUUAUGUCAUUACAUACUUUUUGGUGCGAGAUAAACUUUUUAUACAUUCAAGUAGUUUUUAUUUUGCGCCGAAGUGUAUAUUUAUAAGGUUUAGUGUGACGGCCCCACAUUCUCCUAGGGCAUACCCUAGGAGUUAGCGGUUCGCCUGUCUGACUCUCGCCAGGACUCAUUUAUUUUCAUUAACUUCGGAGAUAACAUUUCCAUUAAACAACUGACUGUUCACUCCUAGUGCAACUCCCAUCAACUUGAAACAUAAAAUUGUCCAAUAAAAGAAACAAAAUAUACAUUCUAAACAUCCAUUCUUAAUACCACAUCAAACUCAUGAUGAAAGGUUCGACCAGUUCAAGGUACAAAGGAAACCAUGACUACAAUAUAUACAUACUAACGGAUCUUCCAAAACAACUUCCUAAUUCAACUCGAUCAUUCUUCAAACUUCAAUUCCUGUAAGGAAAACAAAGCUGAGGGGAUGAGCUUACGUCCAGUGAGGUUUCCGUGCAAGCAACAAUCAAUAAACACUUAAACCAGAUAAGCCAGUAACAAAAUUAAGCAAGUAAGGAAUACUUCACUGAACAAUCACUUUUGAAAGGAUACGGUGCUCGCAUUAGAGCCACUUCAAUGCACUACACACUCCGCCGAACUCCUCCUUAUAACCUCAAAAACAGUAAACACUUCCCUUAUUUAGAUAGCCAUAUCAAUAUCAGUAAUCUGCUACUCCGUGGUAAUACUCGAGCAUACUAAUACACUUACCCAAAGCUACCAUCCUAUCCGACCAAGCCCUUUUGUUGACUCGAAUAGUCCGUUGAACAAAGGGUUUUGGGGCCCAGUUCAGCCGGUGUGGUAAAAUACACACACGACUUACAGUCAUGCACACUUACAAUAACACUUGAUCAAUUAUCAACCUUCAAGCUCAAACUAAGUUGAGUGCAAUAAAGUACACUCUCGACUUAGAAGGCGAGGGACAAUUGAAACACACUUCAUAAUAAAGUACUGGCAUAAUCAUACAAACAUCAUUUAAGUAACACAUAGGCAAUUUAAACACACAAAUGUGGAAACACUCACUUAGUCAAACAUAUUGCACUUCGGUCUCGAGAUUGCUUUUACACCCACUAGUAGUUCCUGAGACAAAUUUCAAGUACUAUGAUUAUGGCAUAAUUCUAGGAAUAGUCACUAAAUGCAGUUACUUUCAUCCCCAAUCCGGAUUCUAAGUUGGUUAUACCAAAUUUAAUCGUUAGAAGAUACCCAAAGUACAUAUAUCGUUCACUUUAGUAUAAUUUAGCUAAGUUCAAGCACAAUAAUAUUGUAUAAAAUCUACCGAGCAACUCAAGUUAAAACCAAAAUUAAUUAAGGUUAAGAUUUAGUCUUAAAGGUAGAAUAAUUGUCCAGGUUCACUUCUUCCGUUUCCUCCUAAAUUAGUCUUUUCUAAAUUAAAACUCAACGCGUACCUCAUGCAUGUCUAGUUUUAGAUGUUAAGAGAUGUAUGAAGCAAGGAUAUACUUAUUAGUAACCAAAGUUAGGGAGUUAAAGCUGAAAUUUCCCUUACUUACCCUCUCCUCGGCCCUCAUUAAAAAUUCCAACAAUGUUCCUUAAGUUUUCACUCUUAAACAACCAACUUUCACUAGAACCAAAAACAGAACAUAUGUUACGAAUGAGCACAUAACAGGAUUUCUGCAGGUCAAAUUACUAAAAUUUCUGAUACAAGUUGGAAAACCAACUCCUUUUCUCUUGGCCAAAGCUGGAGCAAUUCCAGCAAGUGAACCAACUAUAAAACAAACACAAACCAGCUCUAAACUUUACAUGCAUCACUCUAGAAACAUUAGACAAGGCAUAAAUCAUGGAUUUCAGUUACCAUCUAGCAAAAUUUCCAAGAAAUAACCAAAGUUGCAUCGUGUUCUUCUUUCCUCCUAGUUUGCUGUCUUAAUGUUCCAGAUUUGUUCCUGCUUUAAAGUUCAUCUUUUCUUACUUUUCAACUUUCAAGUGUUACAUGCAUGUCAAUAUUAAAUUAUUAUAAGGUGUGAACAAUAACAAUAUGCAAUUUACAGCCCGAAAAUCCAUGGAGAAAACUGGAAAAUUUCACCAUUUCUCUCUCUCGGUCCAUCCCAACAGGUUCCAGCAGGUUUCUUUGACAUUUCCAGCCAAGAUUACCAAUGUUUUUACUAGUUUUGCAGAUAAAUAUCCUAUAAGAUCAGAGAUAAACAUAUUUCAUGCAUUCCUAGCAUAAUUCUCCAUAGAAAAUUCAGAUAACAGCUGUAACUCAAGCAAAUAACUCUCGGUUCCUUCAAAUUUCUGUCCGACAGUUUCAUCUUCUUCUAAACAGAAUUUUACCUUAGUUAAGAAUUCAUUUUCUUUGCUAAACUCCAACAUACAGCUUAAGCUCUAUGUAUAUUAGCUGUACGAGAGAAGAUUGCAGAAUGUUUACCUUCCUUUCCACCUAGAAUCAGUAAAUUGCAGCUACUCUUUAGGUCCUCUGCUCUGACUCCUUCUAACAGCUCCCGUUACUUCCUCUCCUUCUAUCUACUCCACUUCUCACUUAGUUAAAGCUGAUAGAUGAUGAAACCGCAGGAUUUCUCUCCCUUUUUCCUCUCUCUCACUUUUGGCUCACGGUUCUGAGGUUGCAAGCUGGAGAAAUGAAGCUAGCAAAUGUCUAACUCUCUCUCCCUCUCUCUCUCUCGGUUGCAAGCUGAACAAAGAGGAACCAAAAAUAUUUUCUUUCCUCCCUCUCGGUCGUGUAUUGAGAUGAACGAAAUGUAGCUUAGUCUCUCUCAGUUUUGCUCUUAGUGUUCGGUUAGUAAGAAGAGUAAUUGGAGUUUUCUUUGCCCUUAGCCACAGCCCAAAUUUAAGCAGGUAGUUCUCUUCUUUUCCUCUCGGUUGUUUAUAUAGCUUGAAUGAAAGAAAGAACAGCAAUGCCACCUAAUUCCUCUUGCUCUCGGUUACUCCUGACUCAGCAAUUGUUCCACCGCCCAAACCAACUCCUAUUUACUUCCUCGUUCCACCGUUUAGGCUUAGUAGCUCAUUGGCAGCUGCCUUCCUUUGGUUC